rnacentral:rRNA from 1 species
CCUACGGGUGGCUGCAGUGGGGAAUAUUGGACAAUGGGCGAAAGCCUGAUCCAGCCAUGCCGCGUGUGUGAAGAAGGCCUUCGGGUUGUAAAGCACUUUCAGUGGGGAAGAAAGCCUUGGGGCUAAUACCCUCGAGGAAGGACAUCACCCACAGAAGAAGCACCGGCUAACUCCGUGCCAGCAGCCGCGGUAAUACGGAGGGUGCGAGCGUUAAUCGGAAUUACUGGGCGUAAAGCGCGCGUAGGCGGUCUGAUAAGCCGGUUGUGAAAGCCCCGGGCUCAACCUGGGAACGGCAUCCGGAACUGUCAGGCUAGAGUUCAGGAGAGGAAGGUAGAAUUCCCGGUGUAGCGGUGAAAUGCGUAGAGAUCGGGAGGAAUACCAGUGGCGAAGGCGGCCUUCUGGACUGACACUGACGCUGAGGUGCGAAAGCGUGGGUAGCAAACAGGAUUAGAUACCCCGGUAGUC